UGAGGGAUAGCUCAGUUGGUAGAACAUGAGACUCUUAAACUCAGGGUCUGGGGUUUGAGCCCCAUGUGGAGAAAAA